UAUCUUGUUAUAAACUCUUUUGUGCGACCAUAGAAUAUUAGAUUGUGGAGACGACAUAAAAGUGAGUUUGAAAUUUCAAAUAGACAUAUCUCGAAACCAUAUGUUUGUUUUCGUUCCACCCUCUAACAUGCCAUGCCUGCAAGAGGAGGAUGAGGUUUUUGAACUUUGCAGUUUUAAUAAAUUUUGUCAAUAAUGAGGUAAAAAACUUAUAAUAGUUUUUUCCUUAGUUUGCAAAUAUGAGUAUUCUGAAAACAAAAUUUUAAAUAAACAGAUUUGUUUCUUCAUUAUCUGCUUAUGCUACAUAUGGUUAUCUUUAUUCUUGUGUGCCCUGAAAUUGAAAUACGUGAGUAUUUACUCCAAAGGUUAUGGAAGUAUAAUUAUGAUGGUUUGAUGUUCAUUGGGUGCUUGAGCCAUCAUCUAAGUUGCCAAUUAUCAAGACUUUUGGUUCUAGUGUUUUUGGACUUAGUUGUUUAGAUUGAAAUUGGUUGUCGUCAGGGCCGACCCUGGGGCUAAGCCACCUGGGCAACCGCCUAGGGCCUCCAAAAAUGUGGCUUGGGCCUAGGGCCUCAAAACUCACAGUAAUACCACCAGGGAAGCCCAGCAGAAACUUAGAACCUUCAGGAAAUUGAACGGACACAGGAAGGAAAUUGAACGGAUGGGAACGAAAAGAAAUUGAAGAGACGGGAAGGAAAAUGAAGGCAAGGGACUGAUUCGACGAAGAGGUAGUAAGUCGUCUUCUUCAA
rnacentral:lncRNA from 1 species